rnacentral:rRNA from 1 species
UCGUCUGUGAAAUUCCGGGGCUUAACUCCGGGCGUGCAGGCGAUACGGGCAUAACUUGAGUACUGUAGGGGUAACUGGAAUUCCUGGUGUAGCGGUGAAAUGCGCAGAUAUCAGGAGGAACACCGAUGGCGAAGGCAGGUUACUGGGCAGUUACUGACGCUGAGGAGCGAAAGCAUGGGUAGCGAACAGGAUUAGAUACCCUGGUAGUCCAUGCCGUAAACGGUGGGCGCUAGGUGUGAGGGUCUUUUCACGACUUUCGUGCCGUAGCUAACGCAUUAAGCGCCCCGCCUGGGGAGUACGGCCGCAAGGCUAAAACUCAAAGGAAUUGACGGGGCCCCGCACAAGCGGCGGAGCAUGCGGAUUAAUUCGAUGCAACGCGUAGAACCUUACCUGGGUUUGACAUGGAUCGGGAGUGCUCAGAGAUGGGUGUGCCUCUUUUGGGGUUGGUUCACAGGUGGUGCAUGGCUGUCGUCAGCUCGUGUCGUGAGAUGUUGGGUUAAGUCCCGCAACGAGCGCAACCCUUGUUCACUGUUGCCAGCACGUUAUGGUGGGGACUCUAGAGAGACUGCCUGCGCAAGCAGUGAGGAAGGUGGGGACGACGUCAAGUCAUCAUGGCCCUUACGCCUAGGGCUACACACGUGCUACAAUGGGCGGUACAGAGGGUCGCUACUUAGUAAUAAGAUGCCAAUCUCAAAAAACCGUUCUCAGUUCGGAUUGAGGUCUGCAAC